rnacentral:rRNA from 1 species
GAUGAACGCUGGCGGCGUGCCCAGUACAUGCAAGUCGAGCGAACAGACGAGGAGCUUGCUCCUUUGACGUUAGCGGCGGACGGGUGAGUAACACGUAGGUAACCUACCUAUAAGACUGGGAUAACUUCGGGAAACCGGAGCUAAUACCGGAUAAUAUUUCGAACCGCAUGGUUCGAUAGUGAAAGAUGGCUUUGCUAUCACUUAUAGAUGGACCUGCGCCGUAUUAGCUAGUUGGUAAGGUAACGGCUUACCAAGGCAACGAUACGUAGCCGACCUGAGAGGGUGAUCGGCCACACUGGAACUGAGACACGGUCCAGACUCCUACGGGAGGCAGCAGUAGGGAAUCUUCCGCAAUGGGCGAAAGCCUGACGGAGCAACGCCGCGUGAGUGAUGAAGGUCUUCGGAUCGUAAAACUCUGUUAUUAGGGAAGAACAAACGUGUAAGUAACUGUGCACGUCUUGACGGUACCUAAUCAGAAAGCCACGGCUAACUACGUG